rnacentral:rRNA from 1 species
AUUGAACGCUGGCGGCAUGCCUUACACAUGCAAGUCGAACGGCAGCACGGGUGCUUGCACCUGGUGGCGAGUGGCGAACGGGUGAGUAAUACAUCGGAACGUACCUUAUCGUGGGGGAUAGCGCAGCGAAAGCUGUGCUAAUACCGCAUACGCCCUGAGGGGGAAAGCGGGGGAUCGCAAGACCUCGCGCGAUUAGAGCGGCCGAUGCCUGAUUAGCUUGUUGGUGGGGUAAAAGCCCACCAAGGCGACGAUCAGUAGCUGGUCUGAGAGGACGAUCAGCCACACUGGGACUGAGACACGGCCCAGACUCCUACGGGAGGCAGCAGUAGGGAAUUUUGGACAAUGGGGGCAACCCUGAUCCAGCAAUGCCGCGUGAGUGAAGAAGGCCUUCGGGUUGUAAAGCUCUUUUGUCAGGGAAGAAACACCGGCUCUAACACAGUCCGGGAAUGACGGUACCUGAAGAAUAAGCACCGGCUAACUACGUGCCAGCAGCCGCAGUAA